AGAGAUUGAUUAAAUUUAUUUUGGAUAAAGAAAUCACAAGAUUCAGAGAAAACGAACUGGAAUCGGAUGAAUUUUUAAAGCAGAAAUGCUGUAAUAUUUAUGAUGUUUUAAGAAAAGCUUUUGCUGUAGUGCUGUUGUUUUUGCUUUUCUUCUCUUUUUGGUUUUUUUUUAAAGAAAUAUUUCCUUUGGAAUCUUCUUUGCACUAUGUGGAUGGGCUACUUAAGUUUUUAUAUUCAAUUCUUUUUUUGGAUUAAUUUCGUGUAUAUAUGAUUGCGAUUUCAUCUCACUACUACAUAUAGUAUUACGUAUGUUUUUGUUUAUACAUUGGUGAUUGAGAACAACCCAGUAACGGUCAAAAGAACAAUCAUGACCUUCGUUGCUCGUUUAGAAAAUAGUUCAAUGACGUUGAUCUUAUAAACCUUUUCAAAUUAGGGAUUUGCGAUAAUCAGCUCUGUGGCUUGAUUACUAUAAUCGGAGAGUGGAUAAAAAAGGUACAGUCAUAUAAGUAUUAGUAUGGCAAGGGUACACUUUCUGUUGUAAAUAAAAUGUAAACUUAUUGAGUGUCAAUUGAAUUGAACUGCAUCAAUUUUGCUGGCAUGUUUUGCUAAUUGAUGUAAAUCAUCUACUAUUUACUACCUGUGAGUGUUGUUGAAAUCGAUGUCUUUUAUGAAGUUGUCAUCUAUUGACCUUGUUUUUGUUUGUUUUUGUUUGCAAACUGUUGGGGGUCUAAAGUUCUCCAUAUAUCAAAAUUUAACCACAGCGCAGGGUUUGUGAAAGCAAAAUUGCACCCUUGGUCUAUAAUUGUUUUCAUGUGUUCCUUGUUAAAUAUAAAAUCAAUUACAAAUGUUUGUAUUAAAUGCCACAGUCGAUUUAAAAUUAAAAAUGUCGAAAUAUUGUCAAGGACAUUUUUUUAAAAAAUAUACUAGAUGAUACCCCCACGCAAGUGCGGGAAUUAAAAACUUUCCACGUUAAUAUGAUAUAUAUAAUGCUUUAAGUGUUGAACCAUAUAUUUAAUUCAUUUGUUUAAAUACUUUGUCUGAUUUUUUAUCCUUAUCUUAUUCUUUGAAAUUGAAAUAAAAAACAAACUGCAUUUAACCCUUUUGAUGCCACAUUUCAUUUGAAUUACGUUAUGACGUUGCUUGUACGUCAUAUCGUAAAUACAUGUGCACGUUUUUGCCCGAACUUUGAUUGGAUUUAAUUUUAUUUUUAUUUUUUUAUCUGGUUAUUAAUUUAUUUGUUUAUUUAUUCAUUUGCAUUUUAAAGAAUUAAAAACAAAUUAUAAAAACUUC
rnacentral:misc_RNA from 1 species